rnacentral:rRNA from 1 species
AUGAACGCUAGCGGCAGGCUUAAUACAUGCAAGUCGUGGGGCAGCAUGUCCCGUAGCAAUACGGGAUGAUGGCGACCGGCAAACGGGUGCGGAAACACGUACACAACCUUCCUUUAAGUGGGGGAUAGCCCAGGGAAAACUUGGAUUAAUACCCCGUAAACAUAUUGAAAAGGCAUCUUUUUAAUAUUAAAGCUCCGGGCGCUUAAUGAUGGGUGUGCGACUGAUUAGGUAGUUGGCGGAGUAACGGCCCACCAAGCCUACGAUCAGUAACUGGUGUGAGAGCACGACCAGUCACACGGGCCACUGAGACACGGGCCCGACUCCUACGGGAGGCAGCAGUAAGGAAUAUUGGUCAAAUGGACCGCAAGUCUGAACCAGCCAUGCCCGCGUGGAGGGAUGAAGGUCCUCUGGAUUGUAAACUUCUUUUAUCUGGGAAGAAAACCCACGGAUUCUUCUGUGGUUUGACGGUUACCAGGUGAAUAAGCACCGGCUAACUCCGGUGCCAGCAGCCGCGGUAAUACGGGAGGGUGCAAAGCGUUAUUAUCCGGAUUCACUGGGUUUAAAAGGGUGCGUAGGUGGGGUUGGUACGUCAGUGGUGAAAUCUCCGAGCUUAACCUCGGAAACCUGCCAUUGAUACUAUUAAUUCUUGAAUAUUGUGGAGGUCAGCGGAAUAUGUCAUGUAGCGGUGAAAUGCUUAGAGAUGGACAUAGAACACCAAUUGCGAAGGCAGCUGGCUACACAUAUAUUGACACUGAGGCACGGAAAGCGUGGGGAUCAAACAGGAUUAGAUACCCUGGUAGUCCACGCCCUAAAACUAUGGAUACUCGACAUACGCGAUACACUGUUGUGUGUCUGAGCGAAAGCAUUAAAGUAUCCCACCUGGGAAGUACGAUCGCAAGAUUGAAACUCAAAGGAAUUGGCGGGGGUCCGCACAAGCCGGUGGAGCAUGUGGUUUAAUUUCGAUGAUACGCGAGGAAACCUUACCUGGGGCUAGAAUGCAUUUUGACAGUGGGUGGAAAGCUCAUCUUUGUAGCAAUACACAAUUUGUAAGGUGCUGCAUGGCUGUCGUCAGCUCGUGCCGUGAGGUGUUGGGUUAAGUCCCGCAACGAGCCGCAACCCCCCAUCACUAGUUGCCAUCAGGUAACGCUGGGAACUCUAGUGAAACUGCCCGUCGUAGGACGUGAGGAAGGAGGGGAUGAUGUCAAGUCAUCAUGGGCCUUUAUGCCCAGGGCUACACACGUGCUACAAUGGGGCGUACAAAGGGCUGCAACAUAGUGAUAUGAAGCUAAUCCCAAAAAAACGCCUCUCAGUUCAGAUUGGAGUCUGCAACUCGACUCCAUGAAGCUGGAAAUCGCUAGUAAUCGUAGAUCAGCAACGGCUACGGUGAAUACGUUCCCCGGACCUUGCAACACACCGCCCGUCAAGCCAUGGAAAGCCGGGUGUACCUAAAGUCGGUAACCGUAAGGAGCCGCCUAGGGGUAAAACUGGUGACUGGGGCU